rnacentral:rRNA from 1 species
AUUGAACGCUGGCGGCAGGCCUAACACAUGCAAGUCGAGCGGAUGAAGGGAGCUUGCUCCUGGAUUCAGCGGCGGACGGGUGAGUAAUGCCUAGGAAUCUGCCUGGUAGUGGGGGAUAACGUCCGGAAACGGGCGCUAAUACCGCAUACGUCCUGAGGGAGAAAGUGGGGGAUCUUCGGACCUCACGCUAUCAGAUGAGCCUAGGUCGGAUUAGCUAGUUGGUGGGGUAAAGGCCUACCAAGGCGACGAUCCGUAACUGGUCUGAGAGGAUGAUCAGUCACACUGGAACUGAGACACGGUCCAGACUCCUACGGGAGGCAGCAGUGGGGAAUAUUGGACAAUGGGCGAAAGCCUGAUCCAGCCAUGCCGCGUGUGUGAAGAAGGUCUUCGGAUUGUAAAGCACUUUAAGUUGGGAGGAGGGGCGGUAAGUUAAUACCUUGCUGUUUUGACGUUACCAACAGAAUAAGCACCGGCUAACUUCGUG